AAAAACAAUGAAAUUUGAAGUAAGACUAAAUCUAUGAACAAGUUUAAUAAAGAUUUACAUAGUCAAAACAAAAAUAUUGAAAAAAAAAUGAAGAGAUUACCAUAAAAACGCGUCUCAAACACUGAAAUUCAUUUUUCGCCGUAUAAAAAUAUAGCAGAAUGAUUUGUUUGUUGCAUAAUAAGCCUCGUUUUCGUGCAGUUGAAGGCGCGGUCACUAAGUUUCGCAAUUGGUCUAUACGAGAGAACUUUUAGGGUAAUUUUUUAUGACUAACUUUUAACAUUUAUAUACUUUUUAAGAAUAUGUACAAAUAUUUUUAUAAAUUGCAUUAUUAUGGAAAAUACAAGCAUUGAAACUUAAUAUGUUUCACCUGGAUACGUGUGAACGACGAUAAAUAAAAUAUUAGAUAAACUCAUUAACCAACCAGUUCUUCUGUAAGUAAAUGGAGUUCGCGUCGCUUGUCGCUCAUAUAAAAUUAGAAAACGUAUUGCCCUAUUUUGUUCACAAGAAAGUACUUGAG